rnacentral:rRNA from 1 species
GAUGAACGCUGGCGGCGUGCCUAAUACAUGCAAGUCGAGCGAACAGAUGAGAAGCUUGCUUCUCUGAUGUUAGCGGCGGACGGGAGAGUAACACGUGGGUAACCUACCUAUAAGACUGGGAUAACUCCGGGAAACCGGGGCUAAUACCGGAUAAUAUCUUGAACCGCAUGGUUCAAUAGUGAAAGACGGUUUCGGCUGUCACUUAUAGAUGGACCCGCGCCGUAUUAGCCAGUUGGUAAGGUAACGGCUUACCAAGGCAACGAUACGUAGCCGAGCUGAGGGGGCGAUCGGCCACACUGGACCUGAGACACAGUCCAGACUCCUAAGGGAGGCAGCAGCAUGGAAUCUUCCGCACUGCGCGAAAGCCUGACGGAGAAACGCCCGGUGAGUGAUGAAGGUAUUCGACUCGUAAAAAUCUGUUAUGAAGGAAGAACAAACGUGUAAGUAACGGUGCACGUCUGGACGGUACCUAAUCAGAAAGCCCCGGCUAACUACGUGCCAGCCGCCGCAGUAA